rnacentral:rRNA from 1 species
GAUGAACGCUGGCGGCGUGCUUAACACAUGCAAGUCGAACGAUGAUGCCCAGCUUGCUGGGUGGAUUAGUGGCGAACGGGUGAGUAACACGCGAGUAACCUGCCCCUGACUCUGUGAUAAGCCUUCGAAACUGGGUCUAAUACCGGAUACGACCAUCUGGCGUACGUGAUGGUGGUGGAAAGCUUUUGUGGUUUUGGAUGGACUCGCGGCCUAUCAGCUUGUUGGUGGGGUAAUGGCCUACCAAGGCGACGACGGGUAGCCGGCCUGAGAGGGUGACCGGCCACACUGGGACUGAGACACGGCCCAGACUCCUACGGGAGGCAGCAGUGGGGAAUAUUGCACAAUGGGCGCAAGCCUGAUGCAGCGACGCCGCGUGAGGGAUGACGGCCUUCGGGUUGUAAACCUCUUUCAGUAGGGAAGAAGCGAGAGUGACGGUACCUGGAGAAGAAGCGCCGGCUAACUACGUG